rnacentral:rRNA from 1 species
GAUGAACGCUGGCGGCGUGCCUAAUACAUGCAAGUCGAGCGAACAGACGAGGAGCUUGCUCCUCUGACGUUAGCGGCGGACGGGUGAGUAACACGUGGAUAACCUACCUAUAAGACUGGGAUAACUUCGGGAAACCGGAGCUAAUACCGGAUAAUAUAUUGAACCGCAUGGUUCAGUAGUGAAAGACGGUUUUGCUGUCACUUAUAGAUGGAUCCGCGCCGCAUUAGCUAGUUGGUAAGGUAACGGCUUACCAAGGCAACGAUGCGUAGCCGACCUGAGAGGGGGGGUCGCCAACAGGGGAAUGGAGAACCGGCCCAGACUCCUACGGGAGGCAGCAGUGGGAAUUCUUCAGAAAUGGGGAAAGCCCUUAGGGAGCACCGCCGGGGGGUUGAGGAAGGUCUUGGGAGCGAAAAACUCUGUUAUAGGGGAAGAAAAAAGGUGUAAGUAACUAUGCACGUCUUGACGGUACCUAAUAAGAAAGCCAGGGCAAGCUACGUC